rnacentral:rRNA from 1 species
CUAUACAUGACUCUGCGCAUAUCAAUAAGCGGAGGAAAAGAAACUAACAAGGAUUCCCCUAGUAACGGCGAGUGAAGCGGGAAGAGCUCAAAUUUGAAAUCUUAAAGGGUUUCCCUUUACGAAUUGUAGUUUAAAGAAGUGUUUUCUGUUGAGGUUUUGGUAAAAGUUCUUUGGAAUAGGACAUCAUAGAGGGUGAGAAUCCCGUAUUUGACCAUUAUUUUCAGCUUUGUGAUACACUUUCAAAGAGUCGGAUUGUUUGGGAAUGCAGUCCAAAAUGGGUGGUAAAUUUCAUCUAAAGCUAAAUAUUGGCGAGAGACCGAUAGCGAACAAGUACCGUGAGGGAAAGAUGAAAAGAACUUUGAAAAGAGAGUUAAACAGUACGUGAAAUUGUCAAAAGGGAAGCGUUUGACACCAGUGUUGUUUUUCUGAAAAUCAAUUAAAGAACUGUUUAUGCUAAGCUGUUUAGACUUUAUCAGCUAUCUGUUUAGUUUUGAGCUUUUCUUUAAUGCACUUUUCAGUUAACAAGUCAACAUCAAUUUCUUUUGCUGUAAAAAAGCUUGAGGAAGGUGGCUUGAGAUUCGUCUUAAGUGUUUAUAGCCUCUUGCCUAUGCAGUCGGAGAGAUUGAGGUCUGCAGCGUAGAUCCUUCGGGGCUAAAUGCAUUUGUGCUAAGUUAUAGCAUUUUAUAGACAACUUGUUGACUAUGAUUUGUCUUGUAGCUUACUCGCUUAUGUUAUUUUACCUACGCUUAGGAUGUUGACAGCAGUAUAGACUGU